AUUACUAUUAAAUGAUACUUUAAAAGUUUCUGGAAUUUAUGAUUCAGGUUCAAAUGUGUCAUUAAUUAAUGCAAAAUUAUUGAAGAUACAACCAAAAGAAAUUACAAGUAAUAUACAAAUGGUAAAUUUGAAAACUAUCAAUGGUGAGAAGAAAACAAAAGGUAUGGUAACAUUAAAAAUAAAAAUCUACAAUAUGGAAAGAAUUAUGGAUGUUUUUGUGGUAGAUAAUGAAAAUUUUAAGUACGAUUUUCUAAUUGGUUUGGAUUGUAUCAAAGAUUUCAAAUUAUUGCAAAAUGAAGAAUUGAAAAUCAUACAAUGUAACAAUCCAAAAAAAAGAAUGUAACCUCAAAUGAACUGUAAUGAAAAUGAACUGAGUAAUCUAUGUACGUAUUAGUUUACAUGUAUAUAGAACAAAUAUUUAAAUAUAAUAUUAUUACUAAAUUUAAAUAUGUGUAAAGAAAACCACUUCACUCAUAUAUGAGCUCUUUUCUUUAAGUUUGUCUUUGCCGCGCUAUCGACAAAGCCUACUAGAUGUCACGACUGACAGUGGGGACAUUUAAUAAAAUAUGAGAGUGGGUUGGUAUGAUUGUGAGCAAUAGACUUUCCUAAGGAUAAUAUUUUCUAUAUUUGUUAAGAUAUAAAAAGACCUGAAGUAAAGGCUUUAAAUGUUGUUUCUUUCGUUUUACAGAGAAACGCAAUUACGUCUUUGUUUCAUUAUUCCCAAUUAACCAAGAGUGAAACCCCAUUAUAAAACAACAUUUUCUGCAAAUAUUUCACGAAACAUGGAAAAAUUGAGGUUUGAUUUUGCUGUGAAACCGACUUCAGAUGAAAAUCCAACAUCAUACGCAUAACCUCAAUAGCUACACCUGAUGGACAGAUUUUUGGAAUACCAGCCGAAGACCAACCUGCAAAUCUACACCAAGAAAUUACAAAUACUCCCAACUAUGCCAAGAUCAGAAAAUCAUUAAAUAAAAGACAUCAAACAAGAAAAAUAUGGAUAACCUUGACAGAUGAUAUAUCAAAAGUAUAUUUGGAUGGAGAACAAAACUUACAGUUUAAUGAUUUUUAUCUAGAAGAAAUUUUGGAAGAAACAAAUAGUGCUGAAUCUAUACCUAGUGGCUCAAAUCAAACGUUGGAAAAACUGUUGGAAAAAUUGCUUGAAGAUAAACAAACAAAAUCUGAAUCUCAAAAUUUAGGGAAAAUUGCAAAGGAUUUCAUGAUUGAGAAAUUCACUGGCAGAAACUCAAAUGCUUACGAGUGGAUUAAAGAUUUUAAUAAAGAAUGUGAACGUUUCCAAAUCAACGAAGACAAAAAGAAAAUUGAAAUUUUAAAAAACUUUUUGGGAUAUUCCAGUGUAGAUUGGUACAACUGCUAAUGAAACUUACAAUGGAAUCGGAAUGGAACAGAUGGGAGAAAAAUUUUUGUGAGACGUUUGCAAACAAAGGAUGGUCACCCAUCAGAUAUGCUCUUGCCUUUAAAUAUCAAGCAGGUUCGUUACUUGAGUAUGCUAAAAAAAAGAAAAAUUGUUACUGGAAGUAAGAAAAUCAAUUGAUAUUGGGACACUUAUAGACCUUAUAGCAUUUGGCUUACCUAAUUAUGUGGCUGAUAAAGUUGACAGAGAAACUUUACAAGGAACGGAAGAUCUCUACAAUGAAAUAGGAAAAUUGGAACAUCUUGCCGGGAAGAAUAAAUACGAUAAAAAAAGUAUUAUAUAUUCUGGCACUAAAUCCAAAAAAAUUGAAGAAAAAAAACCAUGCCAAAUUUGUGUCAACGAAAAAAAAGGAAAACGUUACCAUCUUGAAGACAAUUGCUGGUUUAAAGGGAAAAAUCAAAAAGCAGUUGUCAAAAUUGUAAAUAACUCGGAACUGGAAAUUGAACUGAACGAGAAGUUCCACCCUUAAUACAAGUAAAAUUACUAUUAAAUGAUACUUUAAAAGUUUCUGGAAUUUAUGAUUCAGGUUCAAAUGUGUCAUUAAUUAAUGCAAAAUUAUUGAAGAUACAACCAAAAGAAAUUACAAGUAAUAUACAAAUGGUAAAUUUGAAAACUAUCAAUGGUGAGAAGAAAACAAAAGGUAUGGUAACAUUAAAAAUAAAAAUCUACAAUAUGGAAAGAAUUAUGGAUGUUUUUGUGGUAGAUAAUGAAAAUUUUAAGUACGAUUUUCUAAUUGGUUUGGAUUGUAUCAAAGAUUUCAAAUUAUUGCAAAAUGAAGAAUUGAAAAUCAUACAAUGUAACAAUCCAAAAAAAAGAAUGUAACCUCAAAUGAACUGUAAUGAAAAUGAACUGAGUAAUCUAUGUACGUAUUAGUUUACAUGUAUAUAGAACAAAUAUUUAAAUAUAAUAUUAUUACUAAAUUUAAAUAUGUGUAAAGAAAACCACUUCACUCAUAUAUGAGCUCUUUUCUUUAAGUUUGUCUUUGCCGCGCUAUCGACAAAGCCUACUAGAUGUCACGACUGACAGUGGGGACAUUUAAUAAAAUAUGAGAGUGGGUUGGUAUGAUUGUGAGCAAUAGACUUUCCUAAGGAUAAUAUUUUCUAUAUUUGUUAAGAUAUAAAAAGACCUGAAGUAAAGGCUUUAAAUGUUGUUUCUUUCGUUUUACAGAGAAACGCAAUUACGUCUUUGUUUCAUUAUUCCCAAUUAACCAAGAGUGAAACCCCAUUAUAAAACAACAUUUUCUGCAAAUAUUUCACGAAACAUGGAAAAAUUGAGGUUUGAUUUUGCUGUGAAACCGACUUCAGAUGAAAAUCCAACAUCAUACGCAUAACCUCAAUAGCUACACCUGAUGGACAGAUUUUUGGAAUACCAGCCGAAGACCAACCUGCAAAUCUACACCAAGAAAUUACAAAUACUCCCAACUAUGCCAAGAUCAGAAAAUCAUUAAAUAAAAGACAUCAAACAAGAAAAAUAUGGAUAACCUUGACAGAUGAUAUAUCAAAAGUAUAUUUGGAUGGAGAACAAAACUUACAGUUUAAUGAUUUUUAUCUAGAAGAAAUUUUGGAAGAAACAAAUAGUGCUGAAUCUAUACCUAGUGGCUCAAAUCAAACGUUGGAAAAACUGUUGGAAAAAUUGCUUGAAGAUAAACAAACAAAAUCUGAAUCUCAAAAUUUAGGGAAAAUUGCAAAGGAUUUCAUGAUUGAGAAAUUCACUGGCAGAAACUCAAAUGCUUACGAGUGGAUUAAAGAUUUUAAUAAAGAAUGUGAACGUUUCCAAAUCAACGAAGACAAAAAGAAAAUUGAAAUUUUAAAAAACUUUUUGGGAUAUUCCAGUGUAGAUUGGUACAACUGCUAAUGAAACUUACAAUGGAAUCGGAAUGGAACAGAUGGGAGAAAAAUUUUUGUGAGACGUUUGCAAACAAAGGAUGGUCACCCAUCAGAUAUGCUCUUGCCUUUAAAUAUCAAGCAGGUUCGUUACUUGAGUAUGCUAAAAAAAAGAAAAAUUGUUACUGGAAGUAAGAAAAUCAAUUGAUAUUGGGACACUUAUAGACCUUAUAGCAUUUGGCUUACCUAAUUAUGUGGCUGAUAAAGUUGACAGAGAAACUUUACAAGGAACGGAAGAUCUCUACAAUGAAAUAGGAAAAUUGGAACAUCUUGCCGGGAAGAAUAAAUACGAUAAAAAAAGUAUUAUAUAUUCUGGCACUAAAUCCAAAAAAAUUGAAGAAAAAAAACCAUGCCAAAUUUGUGUCAACGAAAAAAAAGGAAAACGUUACCAUCUUGAAGACAAUUGCUGGUUUAAAGGGAAAAAUCAAAAAGCAGUUGUCAAAAUUGUAAAUAACUCGGAACUGGAAAUUGAACUGAACGAGAAGUUCCACCCUUAAUACAAGUAAAAUUACUAUUAAAUGAUACUUUAAAAGUUUCUGGAAUUUAUGAUUCAGGUUCAAAUGUGUCAUUAAUUAAUGCAAAAUUAUUGAAGAUACAACCAAAAGAAAUUACAAGUAAUAUACAAAUGGUAAAUUUGAAAACUAUCAAUGGUGAGAAGAAAACAAAAGGUAUGGUAACAUUAAAAAUAAAAAUCUACAAUAUGGAAAGAAUUAUGGAUGUUUUUGUGGUAGAUAAUGAAAAUUUUAAGUACGAUUUUCUAAUUGGUUUGGAUUGUAUCAAAGAUUUCAAAUUAUUGCAAAAUGAAGAAUUGAAAAUCAUACAAUGUAACAAUCCAAAAAAAAGAAUGUAACCUCAAAUGAACUGUAAUGAAAAUGAACUGAGUAAUCUAUGUACGUAUUAGUUUACAUGUAUAUAGAACAAAUAUUUAAAUAUAAUAUUAUUACUAAAUUUAAAUAUGUGUAAAGAAAACCACUUCACUCAUAUAUGAGCUCUUUUCUUUAAGUUUGUCUUUGCCGCGCUAUCGACAAAGCCUACUAGAUGUCACGACUGACAGUGGGGACAUUUAAUAAAAUAUGAGAGUGGGUUGGUAUGAUUGUGAGCAAUAGACUUUCCUAAGGAUAAUAUUUUCUAUAUUUGUUAAGAUAUAAAAAGACCUGAAGUAAAGGCUUUAAAUGUUGUUUCUUUCGUUUUACAGAGAAACGCAAUUACAUCUUUGUUUCAUUAUUCCCAAUUAACCAAGAGUAAAACCCCAUUAUAUAUGUAACAGGUAUUCCAACGCCGCCUACUACUUAUAUACAAAAUAAAGAAGGAAACUCUAUGCGAAAAAUACCAAGUGAAACUUCAGAUGUUAACAAUAUGGAAAAAUGGUUACUUGAAAGAAAUAAACGAUCUGUGGAAGUAGAAAGCGUACCAAGACUUUCACAACUUUAUAAAACAAAUAAAGAAAAAACUCUAAACGAUAUUGAAAAUAAAGAAGGUCAUAAUGAAUUAUGUUGUAGAAAAACUAAUUCGAACUAUCGGAGGAAAGAAUCCAGAGCAGCACAUAAGGUAUGCGUUAAAACUUACCGUCACUGACGAACUGGCCUAUAAGCUGUCUUGGACUGGACAGAAAAAUACGAUUGAGACGAAAUCUAUGAAGUUUGUAGACGUCAUUAUCGGCACGAUUUUAAAUUUUCUAUGUUACUACUAAUUGUACAGAGUUUGACAUUAUAUAUUUUUUUUCCAAAAUUAAUAUUCAUGCAUGUUACAAAUUUUUUUUUAAGUUGCUUUCAUUGAAAUUAUUAUUUCGAGUAAAUGCCAAAUAGAUUUCUUUCCAUGU